rnacentral:rRNA from 1 species
UACGUAGGGGGCAAGCGUUGUCCGGAAUUAUUGGGCGUAAAGAGCGCGUAGGCGGUCCGAUAAGUCGGUUGUGAAAGUCGGGGGCUCAACCCUCGGAUGCCGAUCGAUACUGUCAGGCUAGAGUCCGGAAGAGGCGAGUGGAAUUCCUGGUGUAGCGGUGAAAUGCGCAGAUAUCAGGAGGAACACCAAUGGCGAAGGCAGCUCGCUGGGACGGUACUGACGCUGAGGCGCGAAAGCGUGGGGAGCAAACAGG